rnacentral:rRNA from 1 species
GAUGAACGCUGGCGGCGUGCUUAACACAUGCAAGUCGAACGGAGUUUACAUGUGAGCGGAGGGUGCUUGCAUCUAACAAUCUUUUGUAAACUUAGUGGCGGACGGGUGAGUAACGCGUGGGUAACCUGCCGUAUACAGGGGGACAACAGUUGGAAACGACUGCUAAUACCGCAUAAGCGCACAGGACCGCAUGGUCUGGUGUGAAAAACUCCGGUGGUAUACGAUGGACCCGCGUCCAAUUAGGUAGAUGGUGAGGUAACGGCCCACCAUGCCGACGAUUGGUAGCCGGACUGAGAGGUUGAACGGCCACAUUGGGACUGAGACACGGCCCAG